UAGAGCCGUAUACGAGACCCGUACGUACGGUUCAAUGGGAGGGGCGAGAUUUUAUUCUCCCUCUACCCUAU
rfam:Lachnoclostridium sp. An169 An169_contig_9, whole genome shotgun sequence.